GGAGGGUUCGCAUAGCGGCUAGUGCGCCCGCCUGCUAAGCGGGUGGGGGAGUUUUCCCCUCGCGGGUUCGAGUCCCGCACCCUCCGCCA
rnacentral:tRNA from 1 species